rnacentral:rRNA from 1 species
AUUGAACGCUGGCGGCAUGCCUUACACAUGCAAGUCGAACGGUAACAGGCCGCAAGGUGCUGACGAGUGGCGAACGGGUGAGUAAUGCAUCGGAACGUGCCCAGUAGUGGGGGAUAGCCCGGCGAAAGCCGGAUUAAUACCGCAUACGACCUGAGGGUGAAAGGGGGGGAUCGCAAGACCUCUCGCUAUUGGAGCGGCCGAUGUCAGAUUAGCUAGUUGGUGGGGUAAAGGCCUACCAAGGCAACGAUCUGUAGUUGGUCUGAGAGGACGACCAGCCACACUGGGACUGAGACACGGCCCAGACUCCUACGGGAGGCAGCAGUGGGGAAUUUUGGACAAUGGGCGCAAGCCUGAUCCAGCAAUGCCGCGUGCAGGAAGAAGGCCUUCGGGUUGUAAACUGCUUUUGUCAGGGAAGAAAUCUUCUGGGUUAAUACCUCGGGGGGAUGACGGUACCUGAAGAAUAAGCACCGGCUAACUACGUGCCAGCCGCCGCCGUAA